UUGAACGCUGGCGGCAUGCCUUACACAUGCAAGUCGAACGGCAGCGCGGGAGCAAUCCUGGCGGCGAGUGGCGAACGGGUGAGUAAUACAUCGGAACGUGCCCAAUCGUGGGGGAUAACGCAGCGAAAGCUGUGCUAAUACCGCAUACGAUCUACGGAUGAAAGCAGGGGAUCGCAAGACCUUGCGCGAAUGGAGCGGCCGAUGGCAGAUUAGGUAGUUGGUGGGGUAAAGGCUCACCAAGCCUUCGAUCUGUAGCUG
rnacentral:rRNA from 1 species